UGCAGUCGAGCAGGUAGGCCAUUCGGGGUACACGAGCGAGCGAACGGGUGAGUAACACGUGGGUGAUCUGCCCUGCACUUCGGGAUAAGCCUGGGAAACUGGGUCUAAUACCGGAUAUGACCUCCUGUUGCAUGACUUGGGGUGGAAAGAUUUAUCGGUGCAGGAUGGGCCCGCGGCCUAUCAGCUUGUUGGUGGGGUAAUGGCCUACCAAGGCGACGACGGGUAGCCGACCUGAGAGGGUGACCGGCCACACUGGGACUGAGACACGGCCCAGACUCCUACGGGAGGCAGCAGUGGGGAAUAUUGCACAAUGGGCGAAAGCCUGAUGCAGCGACGCCGCGUGAGGGAUGACGGCCUUCGGGUUGUAAACCUCUUUCAGCAGGGACGAAGCGCAAGUGACGGUACCUGCAGAAGAAGCACCGGCUAACUACGUGCCAGCAGCCGCGGUAAUACGUAGGGUGCAAGCGUUGUCCGGAAUUACUGGGCGUAAAGAGUUCGUAGGCGGUUUGUCGCGUCGUUUGUGAAAACCAGCAGCUCAACUGCUGGCUUGCAGGCGAUACGGGCAGACUUGAGUACUGCAGGGGAGACUGGAAUUCCUGGUGUAGCGGUGAAAUGCGCAGAUAUCAGGAGGAACACCGGUGGCGAAGGCGGGUCUCUGGGCAGUAACUGACGCUGAGGAACGAAAGCGUGGGUAGCGAACAGGAUUAGAUACCCUGGUAGUCCACGCCGUAAACGGUGGGCGCUAGGUGUGGGUUCCUUCCACGGAAUCCGUGCCGUAGCUAACGCAUUAAGCGCCCCGCCUGGGGAGUACGGCCGCAAGGCUAAAACUCAAAGGAAUUGACGGGGGCCCGCACAAGCGGCGGAGCAUGUGGAUUAAUUCGAUGCAACGCGAAGAACCUUACCUGGGUUUGACAUAUACCGGAAAGCUGCAGAGAUGUGGCCCCCCUUGUGGUCGGUAUACAGGUGGUGCAUGGCUGUCGUCAGCUCGUGUCUUGAAAUGUUGGGUUAAGUCCCGCAACGA
rnacentral:rRNA from 1 species